rnacentral:rRNA from 1 species
AUUGAACGCUGGCGGCAGGCCUAACACAUGCAAGUCGAACGGUAACAGGAAGAAUCUUGCUUCUUUUCUUACGAGUGGCGGACGGGUGUGUUAUGUCUGGGAAACUGCCUGAUUGAGGGGGAUAACUACUGUAUACGGUAGCUAAUACCGCAUAACGUCUCAAUACCAAAAAUCCUUACCUUCGUUCCUCUUUCCUUCUUUUUUUCCCAGAUGGUAUUAGCUAGUAGGUUGGGUAACGUCUCACCUAGGCGACGAUCCCUAUCUGGUCUGAGAGGAUGACCAGCGACACUGGAACUGAGACACGGUCCAGACGCCUACGGGAGGCAGCAGUGGGGAAUAUUGGACAAUGGGGGAAAGCAUGAUGCAGCAAUGCCGCGUGUAUGAAGAAGGCCUUCGGGUUGUAAAGUACUUUAAGCGGGGAGGAAGGGAGUAAAGUUAAUACCUUUGCUGAUUGACGUUAACCGAAGAAGAAGCACCGGCUAACUACGUG